AUUAUCAAUAGGAUCAAUUCUAACAAGUCACACACUCAUAUUCCAGAGAUACCGAAACAAAAAAAUUCCGCGGUCGAACUACCAUAAUAUCUAGAAAUGUAGAUCUUAAACUAGAAAGGCUUUUUUGGAUGGAAAAACUCUGACUUCCUAGUUUUAGUUAGUAGAAACCUAAUUGGUUAAAAUUCCAUCCAGUAAAACGGAAGAAUUAUAAAU
rnacentral:rRNA from 1 species